rnacentral:misc_RNA from 1 species
AUUGAGUAACUAUUUUUAUGGAAAUUGAGUUUUAUUAUUAUUGCUAAAUUACAAUUAUUGCAAAAAGUUGAUUCCUUUUCAUAUAUAAUUCUAGAUUAGUUUUUGCAAAUUUUUUUUGCUUUGUAUAAUGCAUCGAUAACAAGUAUCAGCUUAUUUUGUAUAGUUUAUGGUUGAUAGCGUAUUAUCAGUGCACUAGUCCUUGUUCCAAAUUCCUCCAAGAUUCUCUUACAAAACAAACAUUUCAUUUGAUUUGUAUUCAAUUUAUUGGAGAAACGAAAUUGAAACAGUAUGACUGACGUUGAAACUCAAAGUAAAGAUGAACAAAAUUUUUGUUUUACAUGGUGUGACUAUGAAAAUCAUUUGUCAGGAGUUGUGCAGCAACUUCUUAAUGAUGGAUGUAUGGUUGACGUGACGCUUUCUGUUGCUGGUGAGAGAAUUCAUGCUCACCGAAUGGUUUUAUGUGCUUGUAGUACAUUAUUUCAAGAAAUACUCAGUGAAACACCUGAAGAUCAUCCCACAAUUAUAAUUAGUGAUAUUUCACCUCAAGACAUGAAGUCAAUAGUGGAGUUUUCUUAUCGUGGUGAAGUCAGAAUACCUGUUGAAAACAUCAACAGUUUAUUAGAGGCCGCACAUCUACUUAAAAUAUGUGGGCUUAUGGAGAUUGAGAGUUUGGAUGAUGACGUAUCUAAUGAAUGUAAAGAAGUUACAGUAGAUUCGGUAGGUGAUUCAAAUGAAUCUGAUAAUGCCUGGAAACCUGCUGAGCGUGAUCCAAAUACUGAUGAAACUUAUUCAUUGAGUGAGCCAUCACACAAGAAAAUUUCUAAAAAACGGAAACGCAGAAGAGAUUAUACCAGAAAAGAGUAUAAUAAUGAUAUGCUCGAAAUGGCUUUGAGUGAUGUUCGUGCAGGUUUAUCUUUAGUAGAUGCAUCUACCAAAAAUAAUGUUCCACGUUCAACAUUGUACAUGCGAGCUAAAGCGUUAGGAUUACAAUUAAAUACAACUAGACAUGAAUAUCCUGCUGAAUGUUUACAAGCAGCUAUAAAUGCAGUCAUGAGUGGUUCAAGUUUUCAACAUGCAUCUGAAUUGUACAGCAUACCAAAAACAGUUUUAUGGAGGAGAAUUCAAAAAGAAAAUUAUCAAUCUCUGAGAUCGGAAACUAAAAGAUCAUAUGAUUCUGAUAAAAGAGAAGCUGCUAUAAAAGCUUUACAAAGAGGAGAGAAUCUAACAAAAGUAUCGUUAGAAUUUCAGAUACCUAAGACAACGUUAUUUCGUGAUAAAGUGAAAUUAGUAGAUCAAGGAAAAUUACCAGAGACUUUUUGGAAGAGAAGAAAGACUGAAGAUGAAAAAGUGAAACAAAUGCGUUUAGAACAAGCUGUUGCUGCUUGUAUGGAAGGCAAAAUGUCCCAAGCAGCGGCAGCUAUUGCAUACCAUAUUCCAAAAACUACUAUAUGGCGUCGGCUUCAACAAGAAAAUAAAAAAAUAGAUAGGACGAAAAAUCCUAAACGACAAUCACAGCUUAUACAAUCGAUUGUCAAAGAAGAAAUUGAACAAAAAAAUGAUUCUGAUACUACACUGUGUGAGGUUUCAUCUGAAAUUCCAUUGACAUACAUUGAUGAAAAUAAUGUACCAGAAAAUUCUGUCAUCAUUUUAACUAAAGGAGAAGUUGAUGAACUUAAUUUAGGAGAUGAUCAACAAAUUAUAGUUAGUACGGAUUCUGACCAUGAGUAUGUUCCAUGUACAAUAAGUAUCGAAGACUCAACGAAUUAUGCAACGACUGAUAGUUAAAAAAAUUUAUUUUCUAGUUACUGUGAUUAAAAAUUAAAAAAUGAGUCUGUUGGUGGCUAAGAAUGAAAACGUGAGUAU